CUUUACCAACCAGGUACUAAACCUGCAGAACCAGUCUGAAAAAGGAACGGUAUCCAAAGGCUACCCAGAUACAGGCUGGUGGCAAGAAAGGCUCAGGAAAAUGUGGAGCUGUGACCAGAAAUCAAAUACGGUUGAGGAUGGUCUUACUUCUCCAUGUUCUGAAACCAGUUUAAACAAAAACAAAAACCAGACAACAACCUCGCAAGGAGCUCAGGGUAAACAAACAGCCUUUUUCUGGAAAGUAAAAUGUUUCCCCAAGAUGGGGAAAUUGAGAUGAGAGCUCGUCCAGAAGAAUACCCAUCAAUGUGCACUAAAUAGAAAAAUCAGCCAGAAAACUGGGAGCUUUUAAUAUCAGGAAACUUACACAAAUACCAUGAUUCCCAGAAGAGAUGUUUUGUAAAUAAGUCUGGGAUAAAAUGCAACAGAAGCGAGCCACGGUAAGCCCCUUCUUCACUUUGAGGUUGAUC